GUUAAAUAGAUGUUUUCCUGUCAUUGAUGAAGUUUCAGUUGAGAACAUCAGGAGAACGUGGAAAUUGGCAAAGACCAGUCCCAUGGAGCAAGAUAAUAGAGCAGAAUGCUCAUUUUUCCAUUGCUAAUAGCAGUUUUAUACAAAAGUGAUGUGUUCUUUCUUACAGAGUAAACAAUCAGAUCUUGGUAGAGAAGAUGACGCAGCUGGCCCAUAUAUGCAUACUCAAAAAAGGGCUUGGUCUAAGCAGUGAAGACUUUUCAAAUGAAUCUCUCUAGUAAUGACAAUGGAAAGCAUGGCCAAAUUCCAGUUUAUUUGCUGAUAGGAUUUUCAGUGCAAUACGUGGAAAAAAAAAAAAAAACAGAACGCUCUACCCAGACCCUUUUCUAUGCAGGCUGAGAAACUGAGCUACAGAAGGAUUCAAAGGCAUAGUUUCUCAUGGAUCAUUCUUCACUGCUGUUCAUAUGGCUUAGUGUGUCUCAGAAUCUCCGAAGACAAUUGUAAGGCAAGCAAAUGGGCAAGGGCUUCCUUUUUGUCCUUUUUAUACAUUCUAUUCUAUUUUGUUUUAUUCUUAAAAGUGCAAAAUAAGGUCUUUCUAUACUAAAUCAAACACUAUUUCUUCCAGCGGUAACGGUUGUUACGGUGAUAUAAAACAAAAUUAUCUCAGUAUACCUCAGUGCAUUUGGAUUUACUGAAUGGAAGAUGAAUGAGGAAUUUGCCCCACUGAGUGUAUUUGCAGGAAUAUGGAUCACUACUAUUGGCAAGACAAAAUCCUAGUAAAGAGAAACAUAUUGAAUGUUUCCAUUAGUUGUGUUCUAAGAUAGUAAUGACAAUUGCUCCACUAAGAGGUACAAGAAAAAAUUAGGCAUAGUUGAGAUUGUGUUUGUGAAUGGAUUAAGGAAACAUCAAAAUGUGCUCUUAAUUUAUUUUAAUAAGUGCUUGUUUAAUGAUAUUUUUGUCUUAAUUUUCCAUGGAUUUGUUUAGUCUUAGGAGUACUUCAGGUAAGUAUUUUUAAGAAUAGGUAGAUAUUUAGCAUGUGUAUUUGCUUAAGCACUCUCCAGAAUAUUGGAGCUUUGAAAUGUAGCUGGCAUUUUUUAUCCAGUAAUGGUUUGUUUUAGUAUCUGUGUGCUCCAGUCUUCUGUAAAGUACUAGCUAUAGAGAACUGUUGUAAGGAAAAAAUGCUUCAUUGUGUAGUCUUUCACUCACACUGCUCCCAUGACAUGAUAUUGUUCCCUUAUGCUCUGUUGUUAUUGUGCCAGCUUGGAUGGGUUAAUAAUCAGAUAAUAAUCAUAAGUUCUCUAUAAAAAAUCUUCAAACCUUGAAGCUCCAAUUGUAUGUUAUUUGGAGAAAUAGUUUUAAUAUUUGCGUCUCAGCUUGCAUAAGCAAUAUCACAUUGUUUGAAACUGUGUUUUCCAAUGACAAUUCCCUCAGGCAAGGAUUUCGCAGUUUCAAAAUGUUUUUUGUCCCACUUGGCACAGGUAGAUUUUGCUGCAGGAGCUAGUCAAAUGUGAAAUAGUGGGAAGUGGUUUUGGUCUUGUUUCUGAAAGUUUCCUCGGUUGUCCCUCUAGAUGCUGCCUCUGCAGACAGCAGGGGCAGUCUUGAGGCUGGGGAUUUCCUUGUUUAAAUAAAAAUGAGUUGACUAGAUAUCUUUCCUACCUA
ensembl:lncRNA